GUUGAAACCAAAUCUGAAGUUCUGGCGAUAGAAUCCUGAUAUCUAAUUCUGGAUGUCUGAGAACCUUAUUGGGGUUUCCCUGGUGGCUCAGAUGAUAAAGAAUCUGCCUGCAAUGCAGGAGACCUGAAUUUGAUUCCUGGGUUGGGGAGAUCCCCUGGAGAAGGGAAUGGCAACCCACUCCAGUAUUCUUGCCUGGAGAAUUCCAUGGACAGAGGAGCCUAGCGGAUAACAGUUAAUGGGGUCGCAAAGAGUCGGACAUGACUGAGCAACUAACACUUUCGCUUUCAAACAGGUAGGAGACUGCCCCUGUCUUUGUCAAACGCUUUAGACGGCUUUCAGUGCUCAUCUUUCAGUGUUUUCUCCUUCUUUGCUCUCAGCAGUUGGUUGUCAGUGUGUCAGCUUUGAACCCCUUUCAUGCCAGAAGCCCUGGACAAGGGGAGACCCCAGUUCUUCCAUACCAUGUAGAAACUUUGGGAUAAUUAUUUGCUGCUCAUUGUCUUUAAAACAAUCGUACAGUUUUCUUGAUUCUGCAGUAUUCUACAAGUAAUAGCUGUUUGAGUGUCUGACUGUGGGAACAGUGGGAGCCAGUAUGGUGUAGUGGUUAUGAAUGAUGAGGGAAGCCCAGGAAACCCCUGAGAAUAUUGUUAAAAUUUUGUGUUUGUGCAGAUAUAUGAUAUGUAAAGGCACAUGUUCUCAUGUAUUUCUCUGGGAGGAGAAUCUGUGCCUGCUUUUUAUUUCUUUUUGUGCCACUGUAAUUUUUAAUUGAAGGACAUUUUCUUUACAGAAUUUUGUGGUUUUCUGUCAUACUUUAACAAGGAUCAGCCAUAGGUACGAGUCUGCGCCUAUUGUUUAAUUCUCCAAGGGGCCAUGAUGUCUGUACCCCGUCCUCCAAAUAGAUUAAAAAUGUUGUCACUGUUUAUUUCCUUUAUGUGAAGAGCCCCCAUGUUAAAAAAAAGUUGGUGAAGUGAAAAUCAGAAGUGUAGUUAAAAUUGCUAGAAAGCCUAAUAUGUUGGUUCAAAUAUACAUUAUAGCAAAUGCC
ensembl:lncRNA